GCCUUCGUGGUGUAGUGGGCAGCACGCUCAGCGCGUAUUCCUGAGAUCCGUGGUUCGAAUCCCGGCGAGGGCA
rnacentral:tRNA from 1 species